GACGAACGCUGGCGGCGUGCUUAACACAUGCAAGUCGAACGGAAAGGCCCUGCUUUUGUGGGGUGCUCGAGUGGCGAAGGGGUGAGUAACACGUGAGUAACCUGCCCUUGUCUUUGGGAUAACUUCAGGAAACUGGGGCUAAUACCGGAUAGGAGCUCCUGCUGCAUGGUGGGGGUUGGAAAGUUUCGGCGGUUGGGGAUGGACUCGCGGCUUAUCAGCUUGUUGGUGGGGUAGUGGCUUACCAAGGCUUUGACGGGUAGCCGGCCUGAGAGGGUGACCGGCCACAUUGGGACUGAGAUACGGACCAGACUCCUACGGGAGGCAGCAGUGGGGAAUAUUGCACACUGGGCGGAAGCCUGAUGCAGCAACGCCGCGUGCGGGAUGACGGCCUUCGGGUUGUAAACCGCUUUCGCCUGUGACGAAGCGUGAGUGACGGUAAUGGGUAAAGAAGCACCGGCUAACUACGUG
rnacentral:rRNA from 1 species